AAGCAGGUCAUAGUGAUCCGGUGGUUCUGAAUGGAAGGGCCAUCGCUCAACGGAUAAAAGGUACUCCGGGGAUAACAGGCUGAUACCGCCCAAGAGUUCAUAUCGACGGCGGUGUUUGGCACCUCGAUGUCGGCUCAUCACAUCCUGGGGCUGAAGUAGGUCCCAAGGGUAUGGCUGUUCGCCAUUUAAAGUGGUACGCGAGCUGGGUUUAGAACGUCGUGAGACAGUUCGGUCCCUAUCUGCCGUGGGCGCUGGAGAACUGAGGGGGGCUGCUCCUAGUACGAGAGGACCGGAGUGGACGCAUCACUGGUGUUCGGGUUGUCAUGCCAAUGGCACUGCCCGGUAGCUAAAUGCGGAAGAGAUAAGUGCUGAAAGCAUCUAAGCACGAAACUUGCCCCGAGAUGAGUUCUCCCUGACUCCUUGAGAGUCCUGAAGGAACGUUGAAGACGACGACGUUGAUAGGCCGGGUGUGUAAGCGCAGCGAUGCGUUGAGCUAACCGGUACUAAUGAACCGUGAGG
rnacentral:rRNA from 1 species